CAGCAGUGGGGAAUAUUGGACAAUGGGGGCAACCCUGAUCCAGCCAUGCCGCRUGAGUGAAGAAGGCCUUVGGGUUGUAAAGCUCUUUCAGAUGSGAAGAUGAUGACGGUAACAUCAGAAGAAGCCCSGGCUAAUUUCGUGCCAGCAGCCGCGGUAAUACGAAAGGGGCAAGCGUUGUUGGGAUUUACUGGGCGUAAAGGGCACGCAGGCGGUCUKGCCAGUCAGGGGUGAAAGCCCGGGGCUCAACCCCGGAACUGCCUCUGAUACUGCAAGACUAGAGABURGGAGAGGGUGGUGGAAUUCCCAGUGUAGAGGUGAAAUUSGUAGAUAUKGGGAGGAACACCAGAGGCGAAGGCGGCCACCUGGACUAGAUCUGACGCUCAGGUGCGAAAGCGUGGGGAGCAAACAGGAUUAGAUACCCUGGUVGUCCACSCCGUAAASGAUGAGUGCUAGUGUSGGGACUUCGGUUUCGGUGACGCAGCUAACGCAUAA
rnacentral:rRNA from 1 species